UAGAGUUUGAUCAUGGCUCAGAAUGAACGCUGGCGGCGUGCCUAACACAUGCAAGUCGAGCGAGAAAGUUCCUUCGGGGAUGAGUAAAGCGGCGGACGGGUGAGUAACGCGUAAGAAUCUACCCUUUAGUGAAGAAUACCCUCGAGAAAUCGAGGCUAAUACUGCAUAAGUCCCUUCGGGGAGAAAGGUGGCCUAUUUGCUGCCGCUAGAGGAUGAGCUUGCGUACUAUUAGCUUGUUGGUAGGGUAAAGGCCUACCAAGGCGAUGAUGGUUAGUCGACCUGAGAGGGUGAUCGACCACACUGGAACUUAGAUACGGUCCAGACUCCUACGGGAGGCAGCAGUGAGGAAUAUUGCGCAAUGGGCGAAAGCCUGACGCAGCGACGCCGCGUGGAGGAUGAAGGUCUUCGGAUUGUAAACUUCUGUUAAGUGGAAAGAGAGACUUGCUUUUAAUAGAAGCAAGGAAUGACGGUACCAUUAGAGAAAGCACCGGCUAACUUCGUGCCAGCAGCCGCGGUAAUACGAGGGGUGCAAGCGUUAUUCGGAAUCAUUGGGCGUAAAGGGUGUGUAGGCGGCCACUCAAGUCUGUUGUUAAAUUCCCCGGCCUAACCGGGGCUCAGCAGCGGAAACUGAUUGGCUAGAGGAUGGAAGAGAGAAGUAGAAUUCUCGGAGUAGCGGUAAAAUGCGUAGAUAUCGAGAGGAAUACCAAUGGCGAAGGCAGCUUCUUGGUCCAUUUCUGACGCUGAUACACGAAAGCGUGGGGAGCAAACAGGAUUAGAUACCCUGGUAGUCCACGCCGUAAACGAUGAUCACUAGAUGUUGGCCUUGGUUUCAAGGUUAGUGUCGCAGCUAACGCGAUAAGUGAUCCGCCUGGGGACUACGGUCGCAAGACUAAAACUUAAAGAAAUUGACGGGGGUCCGCACAAGCGGUGGAACAUGUGGUUUAAUUCGACACUACGCGAGGAACCUUACCUAGGUUUGACAUGCUUUUGAUAGCUGUAGAAAUACAGAAUUCCAAGUUUACUUGGACAAAUGCACAGGUGCUGCAUGGCUGUCGUCAGCUCGUGUCGUGAGAUGUUUGGUUAAGUCCUCUAACGAGCGCAACUCUUGCUGUCAGUUGCUACCCAUUUUGGGAGCACUCUGAUGGGACUGCCUGGAAAACCAGGAGGAAGGUGAGAAUGAUGUCAAGUCAGCAUGGUCCUUAUGCCUAGGGCUACACACGUGUUACAAUGGCCGAUACAGAGGGCUGCAAGUCCGCGAGGAUAAGCUAAUCCUAGAAAGUCGGUCUAAGUUCGGAUUGGAGUCUGCAAUUCGACUCCAUGAAGUUGAAAUCGCUAGUAAUCGCGUAUCAGCAACGACGCGGUGAAUACGUUCUCGGACCUUGUACACACCGCCCGUCACACCACGAAAGCUGUUUGUACCCAAAGUCAUCUUAGCCAACCGUAAGGGGGCGGGUACCUAAGGUAUGGAUAGUGAUUGGGGUGAAGUCGUAACAAGGUA
rnacentral:rRNA from 1 species